rnacentral:rRNA from 1 species
GACGAACGCUGGCGGCGUGCUUAACACAUGCAAGUCGAACGGAAAGGCCCUGCUUUUGUGGGGUGCUCGAGUGGCGAACGGGUGAGUAACACGUGAGUAACCUGCCCUUGACUUUGGGAUAACUUCAGGAAACUGGGGCUAAUACCGGAUAGGAGCUCCUGCUGCAUGGCGGGGGUUGGAAAGUUUCGGCGGUUGGGGAUGGACGCGCGGCGUAUCAGCUUGUUGGUGGGGUAGUGGCUUACCAAGGCUUUGACGGGUAGCCGGCCUGAGAGGGUGACCGGCCACAUUGGGACUGAGAUACGGCCCAGACUCCUACGGGAGGCAGCAGUGGGGAAUAUUGCACAAUGGGCGGAAGCCUGAUGCAGCAACGCCGCGUGCGGGAUGACGGCCUUCGGGUUGUAAACCGCUUUCGCCUGUGACGAAGCGGGAGUGACGGUAAUGGGUAAAGAAGCACCGGCUAACUACGUG